GAUACUCCAGGGAGGUGAGGAUCUCCCAGGGAAGGUCUGCUGAGCCGGCAGUGGUUACAAAUGAAGGAUUUCUGUCAAUCGGCUUCUUCAAAAAGGAAAGCAGAGUCACCAAGUCAGUGUCAAGUUGGCUUUUUACUGCUGGGAGCCAUGCCUGUCUCAAGUGAGGACACAGCAUUUAACCAAAUUCAAGGGCUGGGCAGGGAGGUGUUGCCCCACGUUCUGAUCAAAGCGACGGUCUCAAUCUCCUCACAAAGCUGAUCUAAGUUCUGUAAAAACUGCCAUCAAAUGGGAGCCAGACGUCUGUUCUGUGGACUUCAAGGACAGUCCCUCUCCUGGAUGCAGUGCUGUGGAUUUCUGAAGACAUGUGGAGAGA